AAAAUUGAUGAAUUGAGAAAAAGAAAGAAAAAUAAAAAUCAAAUACUCGAUGAUUCAAAAGAAAGAAGCACGAAAAAGGGCAGUCGGUAAAAAUUCAAUAAGAAAAUAAAAUCGAGGAAAUAAAAGAAACAAAUACAGGAUGUAACAUCGACUCUGAACCAAAAGCCCCUUGUUUUCUUUUUUUUAAUCCAUACCCUAACCCAAGCCAAGCU
rnacentral:lncRNA from 1 species